UUGUUGAAACAUACUUUCUCAUUUUAGGGUCAAGGCUCACAAGUAUAGUUUUUAUGACAAAUUCAGAUGUUCUAUUGAUUUGUGUUAAAGAUUUGACAUGUUUCACUUCUUUCAGCCAUUGCUGAUACAGAGAAUGAGGAGAAUGAGGUAUGAUUGUCCACACUGUCCACUGUAUACCUAGUUAUGCCUCAACUAGUCAUUAUUGAGACAAGAUUGAACUUAAAGUUGUGUUUGUUUGUAGCAGUUUGUUAUAAAAUUAUAAAUUAAAUCAAUUUAAGCAAUUUUGCUUUUCUGACAUUGUUUUCCAGAACUCAGACAUCUCCAGUGACAGUAGCACAAUAAUUGUUGAGCACGCUUCAAACAAUGAGAUUGUGGACUUAUCUGUACCUGCACUCGUCAGAACAGACAAUGUUAUUGUUAAUGAGAAAAAGUAUGGAUAUGCAGAUGAAAGAGAGGAAUCCCUUUCAAGCUCGGAUUUCAGUGAGGAGGAAUAUCUCCCCAGUUACACGUCAUCUGAUGAAACAGAUGACUCUUCUGCAAAAGUCCACCAUGGCAAGGAGAAAAUAGCUACAGACAGUGAGCUAUCUGAUUCUGAUGAUGAAAUGACUUUGAAUUCCACAAAUGUGCAACUGCCCUCAGCUGUGUCCUUAUCCCCAUCAGCACCACCUUCAGAAUUGAAGACAAUCUCCAGCAUUGACCUGGGACAAAAUGAUGCUCAUCCAUCAAGAGGUAAAAACAUUCUAGAUAAGACAAGAUAAUCAACAUAAAAGGAUUAUUGUGCCUUUUGUCCUGCUCGUGUGUUGCUCUCAUUCUGUUAUGUUAAUGCAGCAGCACACUAGAGUGGUGCUCUUUGCCCUGCCCCCCACCAUAAACAUUAGUUUUCAUUUUCAGCACGUUUUAAGAUAGAGGAGGGAGCAGCAGUUUAAGUUGAACAUAAACUAUUACUAGCUAUGUUUGUUAAGAUUUGCAGUUUGUUCAGAAUA